GAUGAACGCUGGCGGCGUGCCUAACACAUGCAAGUCGAGCGAUUCUCCUCGGAGAAGAGCGGCGGACGGGUGAGUAACGCGUGGGUAACCUGCCCUGUACACACGGAUAACAUACCGAAAGGUAUGCUAAUACGAGAUAAUAUGCUUUUAUCGCAUGGUAGAAGUAUCAAAGCUCCGGCGGUACAGGAUGGACCCGCGUCUGAUUAGCUAGUUGGUAAGGUAACGGCUUACCAAGGCGACGAUCAGUAGCCGACCUGAGAGGGUGAUCGGCCACAUUGGAACUGAGACACGGUCCAAACUCCUACGGGAGGCAGCAGUGGGGAAUAUUGCACAAUGGGGGAAACCCUGAUGCAGCAACGCCGCGUGAGUGAUGACGGCCUUCGGGUUGUAAAGCUCUGUCUUCAGGGACGAUAAUGACGGUACCUGAGGAGGAAGCCACGGCUAACUACGUGCCAGCCGCCGCGGUAA
rnacentral:rRNA from 1 species